CAAGCGUUGUCCGGAAUUAUUGGGCGUAAAGAGCUCGUAGGCGGCUUGUCACGUCGGGUGUGAAAGCCCGGGGCUUAACCCCGGGUCUGCAUUCGAUACGGGCUAGCUAGAGUGUGGUAGGGGAGAUCGGAAUUCCUGGUGUAGCGGUGAAAUGCGCAGAUAUCAGGAGGAACACCGGUGGCGAAGGCGGAUCUCUGGGCCAUUACUGACGCUGAGGAGCGAAAGCGUGGGGAGCGAACAGG
rnacentral:rRNA from 1 species